GAGAGAAAGAAAGAUCAGUCACACCCUGACGGUAACAAACACACACAGACACAAAGCAGGGAAACAAGUUGUGAAAGGCAGUUACCAUAGUUUCACCAUGAGGUAGAAUGGCUGGCGCUUUGUUUACAACAGAGGAAGGAGCACAGGUGAAGUUGCAGGGAACCAGUUGCCUGAGGAACACCUUAUUAGGCCUAUCUGUUAUCCAGUUGUGAGCACGCCUACUGAUUAGACGCACACUAAUUGUGCCCACCUGUGGGAAUGACACGGAACCAAUGGGCACAACACUCCCUGGAAAUUUAAAGGUGUUCUGCGAGACUCGUGGGAUGAAAGUUGCCGUCGCUGGCAGUAGGCUACUCUGGAGGACAGGAGCGUUUUCUUGUGCUUAUUUCACGCUGGACAUCGCCGACGCGCCCUCCCUCCUCCACUCGGACUCCUCGGGCCUCUUGCCCAUAGCACAAACAAGGCCAAGGUAGGCAGCAAUGGCUUACUUGUACUGCCAGUUAACCAUGUAGUAAUGAUUGGGGUUGGUACAUGGGUCUAAAGAUAUAUCUAUUUGUAUGUUAUUUAUAUUUUAAGAUUCAAAUGCAUACAUUUUGUACUGAUUAAAAGUUCUUUGUAUUUAUAACUGUAAAAUGAUGACUUAUGUAGCAUGUAUGUGAUGAUUGAAGAUGAUGUAUUUUAUUAGUAAAAUCUUGUUCUUUUGUUUGCUAUAGAUCACAGCUGGCUGUCAGCGUGACAGCCUGACCACUGUUUUCCCCUGAUUAAAUUUAGUUUGUGUUUCUUCUUGUUUGUAUGCCCCUAGUGGUGACCUGGGGCCCGUUGCACAAAACUAGGAUAAGGGAUUAAGCCGGGAU